AGGCUGCACUUAUAUGCUUGAAACCUGAUUUGGAUUGAAGAAUGUUUGGUGUAUAGAGAUAGUGAACACUAAAUUGAACAUGCUUUACCCAGGAUGAUCGCUUCUUUUGUUGCUUCUGUGGAGUCAACUGGUUUAUUGCUUGCAUCAGCAAGAUAUGGAAGCGGCAGCACUGCACAAGUAACGCCUUCUUUCAUUAGCUGGGGUGUUGGCUGACUGGGGACAGGGAUUUCGCUAAAUGCUCUUUUUGGGGGUGUGGCUGGUUGCACUGCUACAAUGUGACAGUCUCUGAUCUCUACAAUGCUCCUUUAUUCUAAAUUUCGUCCUAGGGGAUAAUGCUGGUCUCUGGGCAAUGACAAGAGUUGGAAGCCGAAGAGUCGUGCAAAUAUCUGCUGCUUUUAUGUUUUUUCUUCUCCGUCCUAGGAUAAUUUGGAGCAAUACCUGCAUCAAUCAUGGCUGCAAUAUACUGCAUCUUCUUUAGAACAAACUUCAUAUUGGAACUGGUCCUCUUCAUACACAUUCUAGAUGGUUUAAUGACGCAAUAUCUGUCAUCUUCACAUCACACGCCACGAUAGCUGCUGCAGUUGCUGUAUUUUUGGAUAGGACUCUUCCAUUUAGUAACAAUGAAGCUCGAAAAGACAAUGGCUCGCAUUGGUGGGACAAGUUUGUGGUAUAUACUAAAGAUGUUAGAAGUGAUGAGUUUUAUACAUUGCCAUGCCAACUUAAUAGAUGAUUCUUCCCACAUUAUUAGUCAAAAAUAAAUGUCAUCACUGUUUUGUAAGGGGCUUGUUUCCUUCAUAAACUCGCUCAAGUUCUACCAAGUUUUGUUCUUUUAUUCCUUUAGAAUAGCAUAUGUCAUUCUGUUGACGAUCCCAGAAAUCUUGCUAUUAUUGAAUGUCAGGUGAUCU